GCUUGCUCCGCUGACGACCGGCGCACGGGUGCGCAACGCGUAUGCAAUCUACCUCUUACUAAGGGAUAGCCCAGAGAAAUUUGGAUUAAUAUCUUAUGUGAUAUUAGACUGGCAUCGGUUUAAUAUUAAAGGUUACGGUAAGAGAUGAGCAUGCGUCUCAUUAGUUAGUUGGUAAGGUAACGGCUUACCAAGACUUCGAUGAGUAGGGGUCCUGAGAGGGAGAUCCCCCACACUGGUACUGAGACACGGACCAGACUCCUACGGGAGGCAGCAGUGAGGAAUAUUGGACAAUGGACGGAAGUCUGAUCCAGCCAUGCCGCGUGUAGGAAGACUGCCCUAUGGGUUGUAAACUACUUUUAUACAGGAAGAAUAAGAUCUACGUGUAGAUUGAUGACGGUACUGUAAGAAUAAGGACCGGCUAACUCCGUGCCAGCAGCCGCGGUAAUACGGAGGGUCCGAGCGUUAUCCGGAAUUAUUGGGUUUAAAGGGUCCGUAGGCGGGCUGUUAAGUCAGAGGUGAAAUGCUGCGGCUCAACCGUAUGCACUGCCUUUGAUACUGGCGGUCUUGAGUUAUAGUGAAGUGGCUAGAAUAAGUAGUGUAGCGGUGAAAUGCAUAGAUAUUACUUAGAAUACCGAUUGCGAAGGCAGGUCACUAACUAUACACUGACGCUGAUGGACGAAAGCGUGGGUAGCGAACAGGAUUAGAUACCCUGGUAGUCCACGCCGUAAACGAUGGAUACUAGCUGUUCGGUUUUCGGACUGAGCGGCCAAGCGAAAGUGAUAAGUAUCCCACCUGGGGAGUACGUUCGCAAGAAUGAAACUCAAAGGAAUUGACGGGGGCCCGCACAAGCGGUGGAGCAUGUGGUUUAAUUCGAUGAUACGCGAGGAACCUUACCAGGGCUUAAAUGUAGAUUGACAGGUUUAGAGAUAGACUUUUCUUCGGACAAUUUACAAGGUGCUGCAUGGUUGUCGUCAGCUCGUGCCGUGAGGUGUCAGGUUAAGUCCUAUAACGAGCGCAACCCCUGUCGUUAGUUGCCAGCAUGUCAUGAUGGGGACUCUAACGAGACUGCCGGUGCAAACCGUGAGGAAGGUGGGGAUGACGUCAAAUCAUCACGGCCCUUACGUCCU
rnacentral:rRNA from 1 species